rnacentral:rRNA from 1 species
AGAGUUUGAUCCUGGCUCAGGACGAACGCUGGCGGCGUGCCUAACACAUGCAAGUCGAACGGAACUGUUUUGAAAGAUUUCUUCGGAAUGAAUUUGAUUUAGUUUAGUGGCGGACGGGUGAGUAACGCGUGAGUAACCUGCCUUCAAGAGGGGGAUAACAUUCUGAAAAGAAUGCUAAUACCGCAUGACAUAUCGGAACCACAUGGUUUUGAUAUCAAAGAUUUUAUCGCUUGAAGAUGGACUCGCGUCCGAUUAGUUAGUUGGUGAGGUAACGGCUCACCAAGACCGCGAUCGGUAGCCGGACUGAGAGGUUGAACGGCCACAUUGGGACUGAGACACGGCCCAGACUCCUACGGGAGGCAGCAGUGGGGGAUAUUGCGCAAUGGGGGCAACCCUGACGCAGCAACGCCGCGUGAAGGAUGAAGGUUUUCGGAUUGUAAACUUCUUUUAUUAAGGACGAAAAAUGACGGUACUUAAUGAAUAAGCUCCGGCUAACUACGUGCCAGCAGCCGCGGUAAUACGUAGGGAGCAAGCGUUGUCCGGAUUUACUGGGUGUAAAGGGUGCGUAGGCGGCUUUGCAAGUCAGAUGUGAAAUCUAUGGGCUCAACCCAUAAACUGCAUUUGAAACUGUAGAGCUUGAGUGAAGUAGAGGCAGGCGGAAUUCCCCGUGUAGCGGUGAAAUGCGUAGAGAUGGGGAGGAACACCAGUGGCGAAGGCGGCCUGCUGGGCUUUAACUGACGCUGAGGCACGAAAGCGUGGGUAGCAAACAGGAUUAGAUACCCUGGUAGUCCACGCUGUAAACGAUGAU